GAAUACUAUCACAUUAAUCCACUAGCUUUUACAAUUUCAAAGAUAUGGAUUAUUAAUUUCAGUUCUUUUUCAUUUAAAAAUUAACAUGCACUCAUUCUACAUGUUUAAGAAACAGAAUUUCUAAAUAGUCUAUAUUUCAUGAAAAAAAUGGUGAACCAUUAUCUAUUAGAGAAUUUUUAUUAUGGAAUGUAGUUUCACUCAAUUUUAAAUUUUCAUUCUUGUUUCCGAAUAAUAUAUAAACAAAUACAUGAGAUUCAUAAAUUUCACAAUAUUUGAUUGGUUGAUGUAACAACAUUGAUGAUGAACAUUGAACAUUACAAUUAAAUGACAACCAUUGGUGAAAAUUUACUAAACCUUUUCAUUCAUCUUUUCUAUUUUACCAACAUUAAAAUGUGAAGGUUACUGUUUUGUUUUUUAUAACAAUGAAGAAAACUGAAAAUGAAGAAAAAAGCAUCUUCUCUCCCUUGCCUUUAAUAUGAACAUAACACUCCAAGAUUUGAUUUGGAAUACAACAUAAUCUUCAACUUCAAAGUUUUAAAAACAAAAAGAAAAAUUCAAGCAUUUUAAAUUGUUAAGUUAGAUCUCUUAAAACAUAUAUAUAUAUAUAUAUAUAUAUAUAUCUAUCAGCAAAUGAAAUGAUGUCUUUGAAUUUUCUAAUAAGUCAUUGAAGAAUGAAAGCUUAAAUUUUAAAAGAAGUAGAAUUUGUAAAUUAAUCAAUUGAGAGUUUGAAAAAGAAAAUGAAAUGUCAAAAAAUAAAUAUUCAGUAAGAAAAAGAAUUCACAAGAAAAGAUGGGUAUUACAGUUUUGUAAUAGUUGUAGAGGUUCCAAUACAAAUCAUGACAAAACAGUCAAUUUUCUUACUUGUUGCACAUCAAGAAGAAGCUAAAAGAAUCUAUACACUGAGGAAGAAGAAUAAAUAAAAAAUAAAUAAAAAAUUAUAAUAAAAAUAAUGCAAAUGAGUUUUCUUCAACAAGGAAACCAACAUUUGGAUUAUGAAAAGAAACACUUAAGUUAUCAAAGCAGUACUGAGGGUGGUAGUUGUGAAUAUUGUGUUGAAUUGCAUGGAAUGAACCCUAACUCGCACUCUCCGGGUAGUAGUUCCAAAAGUGAUUCGGAGAGUGAGGUUUCUCCUUUUAAACCAAGAAGAAGAAGACUCAAAAAACUACCACCAAUAGAUCAUCCAUACAAGGGCAUUGAAAAGAAUAAUAGUAACAAAUGGUGUGACAAUUGGAAAGAGGACGAAGCCCACAAUCCAUCGCAACUAGAUAAUGAAGAAUCCGUAGCUAUAGUAUGCGGGAAAGUGAAUGGCAUUAUAACAACCAUGUUGUUGGAUACUGGGUCUUCCAUAUCCGCUAUUACGGAGAAUUUUGCACAACAAUUGCAUUUAGAAACAUGGUACACGGAUGAUGUUCUAGUCGUCACUUUAGCAAACACCCAUGUAGAGAGGUAUCCGGAGCGGAUGUGUGUAGUGACUUUUGAAAUUGGUGAUCUCGAGAUAUCCGAAGAACUUAAUGUGCUUCCGGGACAAAUUUAUAAUAUCACGCUUGGGAAAAAUUGGCUUAAAUCUCAUAUGGCUAUUUGUGACUAUGGAUUGGAUAUUUUACGGUUGCCCGGAUCACGACCAAUUCGUAUGGGUAUUCCCGCACCAAUAGCUCCCUUCAAAUCAAUAGUAAAACCAAAAACUAAGAACUCUAGGAAACAAUCCUUACAACAAGUGCAACUUCAAACCUACCCAAGUCUUAGAACUCUACUUUUUUUAGGAGGAUGGUUGCCUUUUAUGUCUUCAAAACAAGCAAACAAGUCAAUGUGAUAUUUUACAACUAAUUAAAUAUCUUGCAUAGUGUUUUAGAUUCAAGCAGUUAUCAGAAAUGAAAAAAAAAUGAUUUAACACAAAUAAACUAGGUUGCAAUGAAUGAGGUUUAUUCAAUCAAACAACAAAUUCAAACACAAUUCUUUCCUUGUACUCUUCUUUGAUGUUUAUGUUUUUUAAAAAUAAAAAUAAUUAAAUAAAAUUUUGAUUGGUUUAUUUAUUUAUACAAUUUUGAUCAUCACAAAAAUCAGGGUUUUGGAAUAUAGGUUGGUGUUUCAAUUGACAAUGUUUUUAAAUGAUUUUUGUAUGUCAUCAAUUAAUAAAUUUAUAUUCUCUUUAUUUAUUUAUUUAUUUUAUUUACAUACUUUUGUUAUUGAGAUAUAGUUAUAAAUUAUAAAAAGGAAGCAUGAUAAUCUAAUAUUAAAACUUUUAAGACCACAAAAAGAAAUAACCUUGAAAAUUUUAUAAUUUUUUACUGAUGGUUUACCAAAAACAAAAAAAAUUGGCAUAUUAAUUUCAAGGUUACACAUUUUCAUUAUUAAUUAGUAUUCUUAUUUAAAAAAAAAUACUUUGCAUAUAUAUUUUCAUUUAAAUUAUUAAUACACAAUUUAAAUUCAACACAUGAUUGUGAUGUUGUUUUUGAUGCAACAUGCAUCUCACAUUACUUUCGACCCUUAUAUCAAUCAUGCUUGUUUGUUGUUAUUUCUUUAAAGUUUAUUUAAUUUUUUAAAUUUUUAUUAUAUAAUUUAAGAAACUCAUUGAACAAAAUGAUUACUUGGAUCAAAUCACAAAGUUAAUUGUAUCUUAGAUAGUCAUUAUGCUUAAGAAAAAAUUGACAAAAGAUCACAACUUUUAAAAUUUGUAUUUUCUUAAUAUAAAAACAUUCUUUAAGCAUAUUUUUACAUUUAGAAAACCAUCCAAGAAGCUACAAAAAGAAAAUGAUGAGAUGAAUUGUAUUAUUACAUGAUACAAAUGGUGUUGUCUCCAAAAAUUUGCAUUAACCCCACCUCAAUAAAAUAUUUUUAACAAAGUUGAAGAAUUCAUAUAAAAAAUCCCCAUAACUAUUUAUCAAUACUAUUUUGUAUUUUUCAUAUUUGUACACUCAAGAUAUGAACCACCACAUUUCAAACCAUAAUCAAACAAUGGCUUUGGUCCUUAAAAAGACCUCUUCUCACUUAAAAAUAAGGUAAAAAAUUCCCAAAUCAAAACUUUUCUUUAUCAAUCAAAAAAAAACUUUCAUUAUACUUUUACUUUUCAAAGUAAGCCUGUAGGUCUAAAAACCCCAUCCAAGUGAACAAAAACCACAUCAAAAUUCACAUCUUUAUUUUUAUAAUCACACUUCUUAA